rnacentral:rRNA from 1 species
AGAGUUUGAUCAUGGCUCAGAUUGAACGCUGGCGGCAUGCCUUACACAUGCAAGUCGAACGCGAAAGGGGGGCAACCCCCGAGUAGAGUGGCGCACGGGUGAGUAAUGCAUCGGAACGUGUCCUGUAGCGGGGGAUAACCUAGCGAAAGCUAGGCUAAUACCGCAUACGUCCUACGGGAGAAAGUGGGGGAUCGUAAGACCUCACACUAUAGGAGCGGCCGAUGCCGGAUUAGCUAGUUGGUGGGGUAAAAGCCUACCAAGGCGACGAUCCGUAGCUGGUCUGAGAGGAUGAUCAGCCACACUGGGACUGAGACACGGCCCAGACUCCUACGGGAGGCAGCAGUGGGGAAUUUUGGACAAUGGGGGAAACCCUGAUCCAGCCAUGCCGCGUGAGUGAAGAAGGCCUUCGGGUUGUAAAGCUCUUUCGGCCGGGACGAAAUCGCACGCGUGAAUAUCGCGUGUGGAUGACGGUACCGGAAGAAGAAGGACCGGCUAACUACGUGCCAGCAGCCGCGGUAAUACGUAGGGUCCGAGCGUUAAUCGGAAUUACUGGGCGUAAAGCGUGCGCAGGUGGUUUUGUAAGCCAGAUGUGAAAUCCCCGGGCUCAACCUGGGAACUGCAUUUGUGACUGCAUGGCUGGAGUGCGGCAGAGGGGGAUGGAAUUCCGCGUGUAGCAGUGAAAUGCGUAGAUAUGCGGAGG